UCUAAUACCGGAUAUGACACGGGAUCGCAUGAHCUCCGUGUGGAAAGCUCCGGCGGUGCAGGAUGAGCCCGCGGCCUAUCAGCUAGUUGGUGAGGUAAUGGCUCACCAAGGCGACGACGGG
rnacentral:rRNA from 1 species